ensembl:lincRNA
CCAUGCUGCUACCACAUGCUGGGCCCCUUCUUGGGCUCUACUCUUCUCUUCCCUUGUUUUGAAGGCCCCCUGGGAUUUCCUGCAAUGGACUCCGCAGAGGGACAGCCAUUAGAGUAUGCUCCCGCCUAUCCUCUCUGUGAUCUGGAUGUCCACCGAGUGGUUUGCUGGUUUUCACCAAAGUUUCGUAUGGCCUUUACCUGCUGGUCUCUGUGACAUGAUUAUACCAUGUGUUAGAAACUCAGCCAAAAGAAGGGGAAAGAGAAGAGGUUGACUCACGUGGAGACUGUGGAAGGACCUGGCUGCAGAGAACCAAUGUAGGGAAUGUUGGCAUCCUCAUUUGUCCAUCUGGACUCUCAGAGUUUGAGCAGCCUGAGGCUAGAGUGGGAAGGGCCACAGAAGGCAAAGCCCAAAGACUCCUCUCCUUACUGGUUGAGGACCUCGGAGCCACCCAACAGCUGGGCCACAAGAAAUGCUGAGGUACUGGCCCACCCCUCCCCCACAGCCACCCAGUUUCUCGGGUUCAAGGUCCCAGGCAGUCAGGGGCUCGUUUUCCACGCAGUCUGGGCCAUGUUCUCUCCUUCAAGUCUUUACAAAGCCUUCCCCAGCACCCCAGGCCUCAGACAGUUUUCCUGGGCCACUUUUGCCCCCAACAUGAACUCCAGGGGCAGCUUUUCAAAAUUAAGUAGCUGCCUCUUACAGCUCCCUCUGAACAUCCUGAUUCUUCAGAUCCUGAGAGCCUGGCUUUGGUACUCUGCAUAUGUAUAGAUCUAGUUUUCACACAACAGGCUGAGUAGCAGAUGGGGACCCAAACCAGCCUCCAACAUUUCACUGAGUGUUAAGACACAGGGAACUGGGGAACAGGGUGGCUUUGAACCAGCCCCUACUGCUGCCAGCACUCAACCUUAGACGAUUUUCAUAAGAAGGAAAAAAAAACUAAACUAAAAAACAAAAAAACAACAACAGCAACACACACACACAUACAAGCUCAACAAAACCACAGUUUUCCUUGCUCCCCCAAUCCAGAUGGCAGAUGGUAUGGAACCAAUAAAACACAGAUUCAAACAUUUGUUUAUUUAGCAUUGAAUGGAGUAUGGCUUUGUGAUCCCUUCCAAGGAAACACAACCUUCCAACCAAAGAAAUGAUGAGUCUAAGUCAAAGCUCAGGGCAGCAUUGGGAGGGUUCCUCCUGGGGAGGUCCCUGAGCACACGGAAAAUAAAGCACUGGUGAAGCCUCUGGGCCUGUUUACCUCACUGGCAGAAACUCCAGGAGGUCUUCAUCCUGAACACUGACUGACUCUCCGUUUCUGUAGUUUGCUUUUUGUCGACAUUCCUGUUGAAAAAGCAGCCAGCCACAUCAAGAACGUUCCUGCGUCACUUCUAAAACAGCUGUGAAGAUGUUCUGGGCCACCAAUUGAAAAGACCAUGAGAAAAAGGCACAAGCCCCUGAGAAAAGGCACUUUGUUCUGCUGCUCUGGCUCUCAGAUAUCAGAAAAAGAGAGCUCUGUGCGACAAUGUGUUUCCCUUUUUGCUUUGGCUUCCAGGAGAUUCAGAGCUAUCUUAUAUGCUGAGAUUGAAAAAUGAUCUUGUACUUAUUAAGACUCUUUUGGUUAUGAGUGACAGAAAUCUAACCCAAGCGAUUUAAAAUAAAAAGAUAAUUUAUUGCCGGGCAUGGUGGUGCACGCCUAUAAUCCCAGUACUCGGGAGGCUGAGGCAGGAGGAUCGCUGUGAGGUGGAGACCAGCCUGGGCUACUUUGUGAGUUCCAGGUCAGUCUCAACUACACAAUGAGACCCUGCCUCAAAUCACCCCCGCAAAAAAGAUAAUUUAUUAGGUCAAAUUAGUGCAGAUGAUUUCAGAGAUUGCUGAUUCAAAGGUCAGAGUGCUUCCCUCUCUAGAUCUCAAACUCUUUCUUCACAAGGCAGCCACCAUUGCUCCAGGCCGCCCCCAAGCACAUCCUAUCAGUUCAGCAACCCUACCAGAAAGUUCUUUUAGAAGUGAUCAGUGAAGUCUUCUUGGAGGAAUUUGAUUGGCCCACCAAACUCAUUUCUAAACAAAUUAAUAGUCAGUGACUUGAGGUUGUUUUGCUUAGCCCUUCUGGGCCAUAUUGAGCAGGUAACAUGUUUCUCUGCAGUUCAAGCCAAACUUACUGGUGGAAAAGUUUUCCACCAUUCCCUCAACGUGUCCAGCUUCUGGACACUUCCUCUCAAGCAUCUCAAGAAUUUUCUUUGUUCUCAGUUUUAUUACUUCUAUCUCCCUGUCAAAUGUAAAUGACAUGUGGCACUGUGCACUGAGUUUGCUGUCUGUAAUAUCUGAUAACCUGUGAAUUUUCUGGGCCCAAAUGACUUGUGUUCUAUGUAACCAAUGAAAAAUGCUUAACUCCUGCAAGCCCACUCCCUCCUGAGAGUAUAACCUGCCCUGCUCAACCCUGAAGGAGGGGUCAGUCUCUUUGUGGAGAAGUCCCAGACUGACCAACUGAUGUUAAAAAUAAAAUUGUACACUUUGCCUCCAAAACUUCUGGGUACAUCUUCCAUUCUCCUGGACUACCUGUCCAUACGUCUGGCUGGUACUCUGCGGCUACAAUAUGACCCAGAAGGGAAGAGGAAGGUUCACUCUAUCCCAAGCACUGGGAAAUACAUUCCCGUCAGGAAAUGGGAAAGAGAGGGGAAAUUUCUCUCUUGUGCAAAUAGAUGACUACCAUAGCCCAAAAUUUGGUACAGCUUUCUAUCCUCCUUCCCUAACCCAUACACUUCUCUUUUGAAAUAAGCAUGAAAUUAAAUAUAUGUGUCUUUCAUGUAAGCAGUCCUUAUGCUAUUUUCUCAUUGGCAGGCUCUAUGGGAAGCAGCAACUUCUGAGCUCACCUGGGAAUGUGGGUUGAAUCCACUCCCCUGGGCUUUACACUAGCUGUGGCCUCGAGGCCACCCUGAGUUCCCAGAAGCUUCCCACCUCCUAUUUCUGGAUACCUGGGUUUCCUCUACCUGAUUGCUUCCCACCUCGAGCUUAGCCAGCUUGCAGGUUCAACAUGCAGUUUAUUUAAAGUGAUAAUCAUGCCAUCAGCGUCCUACUAUCCUUGCCAAAAUAGUACAACCUGAUCACAAGAGUGACGUCCCAUCACCUUGACUGUGUCCCCUUGGUUAAAAACAAGUCACAGAUUCUGCCAGGGGUGGGAAUUAUUAAGGUAAUAACAAUUUGGAAAUGUGUUCACCAUUAGGGUCUUUCUCUCCGAACUCAGACACCGUGGCCACCCAUCCAUCUGUGUUAUCGAUAAGAAGCCCUGUCCCUGGUGGGCAGCACACAGGUCUCUCACACAGCCCGUGGGGUUGCUGAACCUGUAAACAGAUUGUGGCCCUAGAGUCGGGAUACGCAGGGGGCUGCAUGUUUGAAGGGUUUAGGGUCACGCAGCAGUUUCUUCUUGGGCUGGAGGGCAGUGCAGGGAGAUGGCCAGAGCUGAGCUCCCAAAGGAGGUGACACAGAUACAGCCUUGAUGGAUGAUGUAUAGGGAGCUGACAGGAAGCAAAGCAGUGUGCCAGAGAGGGUCAGGAUAUGGCCGCAGAAGAGCAAGGUACCUUUGGAGAGCUGGGAGUAGUCCAGCCACAGUCCUGGGGCAAGGGGGCGAGGCCAGAACUUCAAGGAAUUUAGGCGCUAGCUGUUGAAAUAUCUUCCUUCAGGGCCACUGUGCAGUCACAGUACCGAGUUAGCUCAGGGAUGUGAUGGGGAGGGCGGAAGCCCAGGUAGGAGCCCAAGCAGGGCAGAGGCUUGGGAUGGGAAAGCUUGAUUUGUCUGUGUUAGGGCGAAGUCCCUGCUCUCCCCCUAAAUCCCACCGCAG